UCUAAAUAUAGCAUAUUUUCUUUUACAUUGUUUCACUUUGACUUGCGCAGUGCCUUCCGUGUGUUUGUGAAGUUGACGAUUGUCCUAAUUCUUGAAACCGGAAGAACAAUAUUUCUCAACUUUCGUGUGCUUAAAGUUUCUCAGUGUAGACCAAUUUCAAUUUCGCAUGAAUAAACAGAAAUAAACAAAAAAUGCAUUAUUCUUAACCGUUUAAGUUGGUUCCAAAAACUACUAGUCAAACUUUUUUCUCGUUGAGCUUUGAAAGCAAGAAGAGCAUAGAUGGAGAGUUACCUGAACGAGAAUUUCGGUGAUGUGAAGUCGAAAAACUCAUCGGAAGAAGCGCUUCAGAGAUGGAGGAAGCUUUGUUGGGUUGUUAAGAAUCGUAAGAGAAGGUUUCGAUUUACUGCUAAUCUCUCCAAACGAUUUGAAGCUGAAGCUAUAAGACGCUCCAAUCAGGAGAAAUUCAGAGUUGCAGUGUUGGUUUCACAAGCUGCACUUCAGUUUAUUCAUGGCCUAACUUUGUCAAGUGAGUACAAUGUACCGGAGGAAGUUAAAGCUGCAGGUUUUGAAAUUUGUGCUGAUGAGGCUGGAUCAAUUGUUGAUGGACGUGAUGUGAAGAAGUUGAAAACUCAUGGUGGGGUUGAGGGUAUCACAAACAAACUCAAUUCCUGUGUCAAUGAUGGGAUUUCAACAUCCGAGCCUUUACUGAAUCGGAGAAAAGAAGUUUAUGGAAUUAAUAAAUUCACUGAAAGUCCAGUCCGGGGAUUUUGGGUUUUUGUAUGGGAAGCACUUCAAGAUACAACACUUAUGAUACUCGCGGUCUGUGCUUUUGUAUCUUUAGUGGUGGGUUUAAUAAUGGAAGGGUGGCCUAAGGGUGCACAGGAUGGGAUUGGUAUUGUUGCUAGCAUAUUGCUUGUAGUGUUUGUUACUGCUACUAGUGAUUACAGACAAUCAUUGCAGUUUAAGGAUCUAGACAAAGAGAAGAAAAAAAUUACAGUUCAGGUCACACGAAAUGGAUAUAGACAGAAAAUUUCAAUAUAUGAUCUACUUCCUGGUGAUAUUGUUCAUCUUAAUAUUGGAGAUCAAGUCCCUGCUGAUGGGCUUUUUGUGUCCGGUUUCUCUGUGUUGAUAAAUGAAUCAAGUUUGACAGGAGAAAGUGAACCAGUGGAUGUGAGUGACCUUAAUCCUUUUCUUCUAUCUGGAACCAAAGUCCAGGAUGGAUCAUGCAAGAUGCUUGUGACUACUGUUGGAAUGAGAACCCAGUGGGGUAAACUGAUGGCUACUCUAAGUGAAGGGGGAGAUGAUGAAACUCCCUUGCAGGUAAAACUCAAUGGUGUGGCUACCAUUAUUGGGAAAAUAGGCCUCUUUUUCGCUGUUGUGACUUUCUCUGUGCUGGUCCAAGGGCUAUUUAGCCGCAAGCUGCAAGAAGGUUCGCAAUGGACAUGGUCUGGUGAUGAUGCUAUGGAAAUCGUGGAAUUCUUUGCUAUUGCCGUUACAAUUGUUGUUGUUGCUGUUCCUGAAGGUUUACCUUUAGCUGUGACUUUGAGCCUUGCUUUUGCCAUGAAAAAGAUGAUGAAUGAUAAGGCACUUGUCCGCAAUUUGGCUGCUUGUGAGACGAUGGGAUCUGCCACUACUAUCUGCAGUGAUAAAACUGGCACAUUAACUACGAACCAUAUGACUGUUGUAAAAGCUUGCAUAUGUGGGAAGAUCAAAGAGGUAAAGAGCUCUAUAGACUCUUCUGAUUUCUCAUGUGAUCUUCCUGAUUCUGCUAUGGCAAUUCUACUUGAAUCAAUAUUCAACAACACUGGAGGAGAAGUUGUCAAAAAUGAAAAUGGGAAGGUUGAGAUUCUGGGAUCACCAACUGAGUCUGCCCUCUUGGAAUUUGGGCUAUCACUUGGUGGUGAUUUCCACCAAGUACGACAAGUAUCAAAACUUGUUAAAGUUGAACCAUUUAACUCUAUAAAGAAGCGCAUGGGGGUAGUUCUACAGCUUCCAGAUGGUGGUUACAGAGCACACUGCAAGGGCGCUUCUGAAAUAAUUCUAUCUGCAUGUGACAAAGUUGUUGACUUAAAUGGUGAGGUUGUUCCACUUGAUGAAGACUCCAUCAGUCACUUGAACGAUACAAUUGAAAAAUUUGCCAGCGAAGCUCUCAGGACCCUUUGCCUUGCUUAUGUGGAUAUUCAUGAUGAUUUUUUAGUUGGAAAUCGUAUUCCUAUUAGUGGUUACACUUGUAUAGGAAUAGUGGGUAUUAAAGAUCCAGUCCGUCCUGGUGUUCGAGAGUCUGUAGCCAUUUGUAGGUCGGCCGGUAUUACUGUUAGGAUGGUUACCGGAGACAACAUAAAUACUGCAAAGGCAAUUGCUAGAGAAUGUGGAAUUUUAACAGAUGGUAUAGCAAUUGAAGGCCCUGAAUUCCGUGAGAAGAGUGAGGAGGAAUUGCUUGAUAUCAUUCCAAAAAUUCAGGUAAUGGCUCGAUCUUCACCCAUGGAUAAGCAUACGCUAGUGAAACUCUUGAGGACAACAUUUGAAGAGGUUGUUUCAGUUACUGGUGAUGGUACAAAUGAUGCUCCAGCACUUCAUGAAGCAGAUAUUGGACUUGCAAUGGGCAUCGCUGGAACUGAGGUAGCAAAAGAAAGUGCCGAUGUAAUAAUACUAGAUGAUAACUUUUCAACUAUUGUGACGGUGGCCAAAUGGGGCCGUUCGGUCUACAUAAACAUACAGAAGUUUGUGCAGUUCCAGCUAACUGUAAAUGUGGUUGCUUUGAUUGUCAACUUCACUUCUGCCUGUUUGACCGGAAAUGCUCCCCUUACUGCGGUUCAACUUCUAUGGGUCAACAUGAUUAUGGACACUCUUGGAGCACUUGCACUUGCCACUGAACCUCCUAAUGAUGAGUUGAUGAAAAGACCUCCAGUCGGUAGGAAAGGAAACUUUAUCAGUAAUGUGAUGUGGAGGAAUAUCUUGGGGCAAUCAAUAUAUCAAUUUGUCAUAAUCUGGCUACUCCAGACAAGAGGAAAAGCAGCUUUUCAUCUUGACGGCUCGGAUUGUGAUCUGAUAUUAAAUACACUCAUUUUCAAUUCAUUUGUAUUCUGUCAGGUUUUCAAUGAGAUCAGUUCUAGGGAUAUGGAGAGGAUAAAUGUUUUUGAAGGUAUACUGCAGAAUUAUGUGUUCACAGCUGUCCUCGCCUGCACCACCAUCUUCCAAAUUGUAAUAGUUGAAUUCUUGGGCACCUAUGCCAACACAUCUCCGCUUAGUUUGAAACUGUGGUUUGUUAGCGUUUUCCUUGGAGUCCUUGGCAUGCCAAUUGGAGCAGCUUUAAAGAUGAUUCCUGUGGGAUCUGCCUAAAUUAAAUUCAGACAAUUAGAAGGAUUCACGUGCAUCUUCUUUCCGCGUGCCUGUUGGAUUGGUGCUUGCUACCAACUUCUAGACUAGAGUUGGUUCCCUUGUUCGGAAGACCGGAACAAUGUUAAUUUUGAAUGCUGCAGUUAGCCAGGGAUGAUUGUUAAUACUUGUUGGUGAAGAUCAGAAGGGCAGUGUCCUUUAUAAGGAAGUAGAAAGUACUUCAAUUCAAUACUAAAGAAGUGAAGGCUAUAUAAGCAAACCAUCUUCUUGUGUGCUCUUGGAUGAAAGGUCAUUAUGAUAGCUGCGGCUGCCAUACAAUCCCUUGUUGUGUUUUAAAGAAUGGUUAGGGGAAUAAUAUCUUGUUUGUUUUUCCGGUGGGAAUGACUUCAACGCCCGUCAAAUUAAAACCAACAGUUUGUAGCUUCUAUAAAACUGCAGUGAUUAUGCUUUGGAACAUGAGAAAUGCAAGAUUGGACGCGGUACCAAACAUAAUUGCAUAUCAUUUAGUUCUACACAGUCUACACUUUUCCAACCACCAUCUUCAGGUCCAUCAGUUUCAGUCUUUCCAAUGUUUUGUACCCUCUCAUAUUCUUCGUUGUCUAGGCCCUUGAUACAAAAUUAUUUGACUGUUUGAACUUUCUUGUAGGUCUAAUUUUCAUUGUUAAGGGACCUCGAAAAGCAUGCUUCUUGUUCAUGCUACUUAUAGUUGUCAUUCUUAUAAUGAACUUAAAA